AAUACAAAAAUGAAUAUGGGCCAUAUGGUUGACAACCCUGAACUAGACCAUCUCCCCUCUGCUCAUUUUACAGAUACAGAAAGAGGCCCAGAGAAGUUGAGUGACUCAUCCAAGAUCACAAAGGAAUAAGUCACAAAGGUUUCCUUGAAAAGAAGUCCUGACUUCAGGCACAGUGCUCUCUCCAAACAGUGAAGAGUAAGUAGAAGGACUGCUUUGCUGAAAUGUAGGACCAUUUGAAAUCAGAUAAUAUAAAUCUGUCAUGGACCUAGUCAGCAUGGCUGCAUGAUUUCCUUUAGUACUAUUCAGCAGUCUAUGGGGAGGAGAGGAAUACGAUAAGGAGAGAAAUAAGAGACUUGCAUUUGCCGGGAUGAGAGAGUAUUAAAUCUCUGUGGCAGGACUUAAAUUCCAAUCUUCCUGUUUCUAAGUCAUCAUACGCAGGUCAUAAAGAGUCCCUGAAGACCUUCAAUCAAAAAAGAAAUCAGAAAGAUUGAUUUGGAUGCAGUAUAAUGGAUAGAGAAAAUAAUGACUGGGGCUUUGGAAUUUUAAGAAAAAAUUUCAGAAGUCUAAUAGCUUCCGAGAAGCAGAUAAAGCUACAGGAAAGGAAUUAAUUGUCUCCUAAAAAAGUAUCAUAAGUAGACUAGAUCAUUGCUAACCUUUGCCUCCAUGUUCUCUUUCCUUUUCAGAUACUAAAAUUGUUUGGAUGAAGAGGAAACUAGCUUUCCCUCUUAUGAUUCAAAUGAUAGCUUGUUAUUUUGGUUUAACAUCUUUCUGUACUCCUGGGCACUGAUUUCAUAUAACUUUAGGGGGUGGAGGAAAAGAGAGGAAUAAAGUUAAUUGCAUAUUAACCAGAGA